UAAUAAGUGUCUUAUGGCACUUUUUAAAUCCAUAUCCACCUUGUGUGCAAUGUCAGUCGAUCUUCUUCAUGGAGAUCGACCAAACAUCAACCUUUAUCUUUUAACUCUUUGUCUGAAAAAUAUUAUGAAUAAACAAUUCAAAAUA
rnacentral:misc_RNA from 1 species